rnacentral:lncRNA from 1 species
CAUCCCACCCCCACGGACCAGCAUCCCACCCCUACGGACCAGCAUACCAUCUCCACGGACCAGCAUCCCACCCCCACGGACCAGCAUCCCACCCCCACGGACCAGCAUCCCACCCCCACGGACCAGCAUCCCACCCCCACGGACCAUCAUCCCACCCCAAUGGACCAUCAUUCCACCCCCACGGACCAGUAUCCCACCCCCACGGACCAUCAUCCCACCUCCACGGACCAGUAUCCCAUCUCCACGGACCAGCAUCCCACCCCCACGGACCAUCAUCCCACCCCCACGGACCAGCAUCCCAUCUCCAUGGACCAGCAUCCCAUCUCCAUGGACCAGCAUCCCACCUCUAUGGAUCAGCAUCCCUCCUCCAUGUUCAAGUUAACCAGGAGAAUCAGGGUUAGAAACAGGUCAAAGCAAGUUGGGGAAACACUGGAAAGUGAGAGACUUUAUUUUGGGGGAACUCUAAAAUCACUGCAGAUGGUAACUACAGCCAUGAAAUUAAAAGAUGCUUGCUCCUUGGAAGAAAAGUUAUGACUAACCUAGACAGCAUAUUAAAAAGUGGAGACAUUACUUUGCCAACAAAAGUCUGUCUAGUCAAGGCUAUGGUUUUUCCAGUGGUUGUGUAUGGAUGUGAGAGUUGGACUAUAAAGAAAGCUGAGCACCGAAGAAUUGAUGCUUUUGAACUAUGGUGCUGGAGAAGACUCUUGAGAGUCCCUUGGAUUGCAAAGAGAUCAAACCAGUCCAUCCUAAAGGAAAUCAGUCCUGAAUUUUCAUUGGAAGGACUGAUGCUGAAACUAAAACUCCAAUCCUCUGGCCACCUGAUGUGAAGAACUGACACAUUGGAAAAGCCCUGAUGCUGGGAAAGAUUGAAGGUGGGAGGAGAAGGGGACGACAGAGGAUGAGAUGGUUGGAUGGCAUCACUGACUCAAUGGACAGGAGUUUGAGUAAACUCCAGGAGUUGGCGAUGGACAGGGAAGCCUGGCGUGCUGCAGUCCAUGGGGUCGCAAAGAGUAGGACACGACUAAGUGACUGAACUGAACUCAACUGAAAGCAAGUCGCAAAGCAGACUCAAGACUGCGUUACAGCCGCACAUUCCUGCUAAGCAUGUGAAGUGUGGCCUGGCCUUAGCAAUCUCGGUUGCAGAGGACGGCAGUCUGGGACUGAGGGGAGGAGGAGAGGGACUCACUCCCCAACCUGGACGGAGCCUGGCGCGGCUCUUCCG